rnacentral:rRNA from 1 species
GACGAACGCUGGCGGCGUGCUUAACACAUGCAAGUCGAACGAAGUGGCGAACGGGUGAGUAACGCGUAAUCAACCUGCCCUUCAGAGGGGGACAACAGUUGGAAACGACUGCUAAUACCGCAUACUGAAGGAGGGGAUUGCGUCGGAUUCGCUAGUUGGAGGGGUAACGGCCCACCAAGGGGAUGAUCAGUAGCCUGUAUGAGAGGAUGAACGGCAACAUGAGGACGGAGACACGGACGAGACUCCUUCGGGAGGCAGCAGUGGGGAAACAUCCGCAAUGGGGGAAACCCAGACGCAGCAUCGCCGCGUGGAGGAUGACACUUUACGGAGCGUAAACUCCUUUUGUUAAGGAAGCGGUACCUAACGAAUAAGCACCGGCUAACUCCGUGCCAGCAGCCGCGGUAAUUC